rnacentral:rRNA from 1 species
UACGUAGGGGGCUAGCGUUGUCCGGAAUUACUGGGCGUAAAGCGUGCGCAGGCGGUGAUGUAAGACAGUUGUGAAAUCCCCGGGCUCAACCUGGGAACUGCAUCUGUGACUGCAUUGCUGGAGUGCGGCAGAGGGGGAUGGAAUUCCGCGUGUAGCAGUGAAAUGCGUAGAUAUGCGGAGGAACACCGAUGGCGAAGGCAAUCCCCUGGGCCUGCACUGACGCUCAUGCACGAAAGCGUGGGGAGCGAACAGG